rnacentral:lncRNA from 1 species
ACAUCUAGGGCACACAUCUAACACUAUUAAGGAGAUUCAAUAGAGUACCAUAUCAAUCGGACAGACACUAUAGUUUUUUGGUUCGAGAUGGUGAUCCUCUCGAACUAGAUGAGAAUGACAAUGAUCCGAUCACCUACGUUGAUGCCAUGCAAAAGUCUGACUCCUAGAAUUGGCUUAAUGCAAUGAAAUUUGAGAUGGAGUCCAUGGUGAUCAAUGAUGUAUAGAUACUAAUUGAUCCACC